rnacentral:rRNA from 1 species
UAGGGAAUAUUGCACAAUGGGCGAAAGCCUGAUGCAGCAACGCCGCGUGCGCGAAGAAGGCCUUCGGGUUGUAAAGCGCUUUUCGGGGAGAAGAGGAAGGACAGUAUCCCCGGAAUAAGGCUCGGCUAACUACGUGCCAGCAGCCGCGGUAACACGUAGGAGCCAAGCGUUAUCCGAAUUCACUGGGCGUAAAGCGCGUGUAGGCGGUCUUACAAGUUGGGUGUGAAAGCUCCUGGCUCAACUAGGAGAGGACGUUCAAUACUGUGAGACUAGAGGACGGCAGAGGAAGGUGGAAUUCCCGGUGUAGUGGUGAAAUGCGUAGAUAUCGGGAGGAACACCAGAGGCGAAGGCGGCCUUCUGGGCCGAUCCUGACGCUCAGACGCGAAAGCUAGGGGAGCGAACGG